GCCAGCUAUAUCGUGGUGUAUUUUCCCCCUCCUAAGGGGAUGGUCAUACGUUCGAUUCGUGUCGGGGGCGCCA
rnacentral:tRNA from 1 species